rnacentral:rRNA from 1 species
UGUGAAGAAGGUUUCUUCGGAUUGUAAAGCACUUUAAGUUGGGAGGAAGGGCAGUAAGCUAAUACCUUGCUGUUUUGACGUUACCGACAGAAUAAGCACCGGCUAACUCUGUGCCAGCAGCCGCGGUAGGCAGUGGGGUGCAAGCGUUAAUCGGAAUUACUGGGCGUAAAGCGCGCGUAGGUGGGGUGUUAAGAAUGGAUGUGAAAGCCCCGGGCUCAACCUUGGGAACUGCAUCCAAAACUGGCGGAGCUAUUGUAACGGUAGAGGGUGGUGGAAUUUCCUGUGUAGCGGUGAAAUGCGUAGAUAGGAGGAAGGAACAAACCAGUGGCGAAGGCGACCACCUGGACUGAUACUGACACUGAGGUGCGAUGGCGUGGGGAGCAAACAGGAUUAGAUACCCUGGUAGUCCACGCCGUAAACUGGAUGUCAACUAGCCGUUGGAAUCCUUGAGAUUUUAGUGGCGCAGCUAACGCAUUAAGUUGACCGCCUGGGGAGUACGGCCGCAAGGUUAAAACUCAAAUGAAUUGACGGGGGCCCGCACAAG